UACGUAGGGUGCAAGCGUUGUCCGGAAUUAUUGGGCGUAAAGAGCUCGUAGGCGGUUUGUUGCGUCGGCUGUGAAAUCCCGAGGCUCAACCUCGGGUCUGCAGUCGAUACGAGCAAACUAGAGUGUUGCAGGGGAGACUGGAAUUCCUGGUGUAGCGGUGAAAUGCGCAGAUAUCGAGAGGAACACCUGCGGCGAAGGCGGGUUGCUGGGCUGAUACUGACGCUGAGGCGCGAAAGCCAGGGGAGCGAACGGG
rnacentral:rRNA from 1 species